rnacentral:pre_miRNA from 1 species
CGUGCACCAGUGGGGUCCCUUGGCCUGGCCUGCGGGAUCGGGCUGAAACUGGCUCUCUGACAUCCCUGAAAGGUCCCGGAUUGCAAGAGGGCGCAGGCCAGGCUGAGGGACCCCACUGGUGCACA